rnacentral:rRNA from 1 species
UACGUAGGGGGCAAGCGUUAUCCGGAAUUACUGGGUGUAAAGGGAGAGUAGGCGGCAAGGUAAGCGAUAUGUGAAAGCCUUAGGCUUAACCUGGGGAUUGCAUAACGAACUAUCUAGCUAGAGUACAGGAGAGGAAAGCGGAAUUCCUAGUGUAGCGGUGAAAUGCGUAGAUAUUAGGAAGAACACCAGUGGCGAAGGCGGCUUUCUGGACUGAAACUGACGCUGAGGCUCGAAAGCGUGGGGAGCGAACAGG